ensembl:lncRNA
AUGGAAAAGCUCAACGAUUCUCAUAAACCCCAUCACAGGCCAUUGAAAGCAUGAACGAUUUCUUCAGUCCUCUGAUUAGCCAGGUAUUCAGAAUAUGUUUCACUCACCUGGAGAGUUGCAUCGUCUUGACAAACACAAGGCAAUUAAGAGACUUCCAGCUGCUCCUGCUGCUACUGUGUAUUCAGGGGGAGGGAGAAAUGAUGGCUGGCCUCUCCAAAGUGCCUUUGCUGACUCCAGGGAUUCCGCCCACUCCUGAACAGAUUCACCUGACAUAUGAAGAAGCAGGAAAACAUAACCUAUACCAGGAGAAAAACCAACCUCAAGAACUGGCAAAUGAAUCAUCUGUCAUUGGAAAAACAGUGCAUGAACUUGGAACCAGAAGGCACUGA